rnacentral:lncRNA from 1 species
GAAAAAACAAAACAAAAAAAAUCACAUUAUAUUCUGUGAAAUGGAGAAUCAGCAAUAGACCCUGCCUGAUGCUUAGAGCACAAAACCCAGCAGGGAGAGAGGUAAUGGAAUUUGGAGGCAACCGGUGUUCAAAGACCUCGCUUGAAAUGGGCCUAUGCUAAUGCUGAGGGUCUGUGCAAAUUGGGUCAUCAUCCCGCAUAGUCCUGAAGGUGCAGCUUCACCGGGACAGGCUACAUGGUUCUCCCCACAGUGCAGAAUGAGAAGAGGCUGGUGUUGCUUCUUGAGGGAU